GCCCUGGUCAGCAGGUAAACGGAGACGGAUGGAGAAGAAACAGCGAGGCUGUGAAUACGGUAUGUGGAGUCUACUGCAGCCAGUCAUCCAGACUCUGCCCGAAGGCCCCUGAAGGCAUCACCGCCGACCCACGGCCUCGAACCAGCACACUGUGCCCAGCGUCUUACUGUACCUAUAGAGCUGGGGAUGCCCACGCCGCUCACAGCCGCGCAGACGUCAACCCUCAGACUGGAGGAAGUGGAUGGAAAGACAAUUCAGGGAAAAAAGGGGGCAGUGGGAAAACCCGCUGAGGGGGCUGCGGUAGACACUCGGACGUGGGAAACUGGGUAACAUUUCUACAUUUCCUCUAUUUAUGUGCACAUGCAUGUGUAAUUGCGUGUGCAUGUGCGUUAUCUCCUCAGUAAUCAGGAGCAGGAAAGCGACCCCCACACAGGGAGCUGUUAGCGUCCACUAAUCGGAGGAGGCUCGCCAGCGUAUCGCAAUAGGAGGCACGAGAAUUCCGCAGUUUAGUGGACCCAAACCCCAACCCCGUUCCCUUUUCACUCAGUGCCAGACACCGUGUGGACAUGAGGACCUGCUGUUCAGCCAGUCCCACCGAACGUUAGGCAAAGAUCCCCCUCAGCUCAAGCCCACAUUGUUCGACGGCGGCCUGGUACCAAUAGGAGCAAUCAUAAAAUGAAAAUAAAACACACAGUUUCAAAUUAAUCUCAGUCUCAUAAAUCCGAAAUUUUCCGGGUUAUAGAGUUUGAGCUAAAUCACUACAUUGGACACACAGAGACCUUGGCUGAGUGCAGACUGAAAUAUUUGUCCCGUCUGUCAUAGUGUGUGAUUUGUGAAAUGUAUACGUUUUACUGCACACAACUUUACGGUCGCACAGUUUUCAUGCAGAUCUGAGGCUCA